rnacentral:lncRNA from 1 species
GGUAUUUCUUCUCAGGUGUCUGGAAUGCUAACAACUCUUUCGUUACUCCAAGGUGACCCUCUAAGAUGGUUUCUUCAACACCUGUUUCCCCUGUCCUUUUUACUUCAUCCCUGAUCCUUUUCAGCCAGUCAAUUUCAUUAUUGAGAAGAACUUCAGCAUUGGGCACAUUAAUAUUACUGUUGUAAGCAUAGUUAAGAAGAUGUCUUAAGAGAGUGAAGUAGUCUCCCGAAUGCUUAGCUCUCUCUCUGGCAGUACUCCCCAGAACUGUAAACAGCAGAGUAAUGAAGAAAAGGAGAGGUCUCUGUCCCAUGCAACACCUGGUAGCCAUUAAAAAGAACUGCUCCUGUGCCAUCUGACGAACAAUUUUGCUGUGACAGUGCAAUAGCAAAUCAAUGAUAAACGUCUGCCAUGCUUUUUCUUUACUUAGAGCAUCCAGUGCUGUUGGAAUCAAAGCAAAACAUAGGGUCAUCACCUCCAGUGCUUCACAGCAAACUUGUUCAUCUUCCAUGUCUGGUUCAUUUCCUGCGUUUGUCUUUUCAUAGAUUUUACUGAUUUCCUCAUUAGAGCUGAACACAAGUUGAACUGACCCACAACCAGACGCCCAGACAAUUUUUUGCACUGCCCUAAUAACACAGAUAUCAGGUAUAUAUUUUGAAGCCUCAUCAGAUAUUUGCUGUG